UUCAAUGUAAUGAAUAAUAUCAUUAAGAGAUUGCAAUCUGUUACUCAAUUCAGCCAUUUGAACCCUAAGAAUUUCAUUCUCAGAUUCAACUUUCAGGUACAUCUGAGUAGUUACACCUACGUUUGUGCUUAUUUGAUUAUUCUCUUUUUUCAAUUGUUCAAUUUGAUUGCUAAGAUCUUCCAUAUGUUGCUGUUUCUUCAUCCUUGAUCUUCUUGCCGAUUCUCGAUUCGAUUGCAUUCUCUUCCUUUUCUUUUGAUCUGUUAUAUUCACCUGCAGAUCCUCUGAUCCAGAUCCAGAGUUUUGAAGAGAGCUUGUUCCAGAUGAAUAUGUUCCACCAGGAGAAGCCAUAAUCAAGUAAGGUUUUAAACUGCGGUCGCGAUUCGCGAUCUUAGAUUUAAACUUUGAUGUCUAAUAAUAACUAUUUUUUUUUUCUAACUAGGUAGUUAAAAAUUAAAAUGAUUAGGUUGAUUUAAUUAAUGAAACUAAAUUUUGUAUUCGGAAAGAUAAAAAAGUGGUUAAUUAAUAAUUCAUGAGAAAAUAUAGAACCAGUAAAGGAAAACAACAGAGAAAGAUUGAACUAAAUGUGUCCUGCGUCUGAGUGUUGAGUUUAUCAUAGAGAUCUCAGAGAUUAGUGGAGACAUCUGUGUUGAUUUUCAAUCAUUCAUAACUAUAUGAACAAAGAAAUCAAAGUUGCUUUGUGAAGGGUUUAAGACUUAAUAAGAGCAAUAAAGGCUUAGAGGGUUUAAUUAAGGAACUUAAGGAUGGUUUAGGAGAUGUAUAUGAGAGGGUUAUGGUUGUAGUUAUGGAUGGACAGUAUGGUUAUAUAUGAAGAAAAUUGUUGAUCUAGAAUUCUAAAGGGGUGUCAAAGACUAUGGGCUAAAAGAUAGACUCUAAUAUGAUUCUUAAAGAAAGAAAAGAUGAUAAGAAAGAAUAUGAAAAUGGAAGAGAAGGGAUGAAUAUUGACCAAUUUUGAGGAAGAGAUGAUAAGAAGAGAAGGAAAGAGGUUUUGAAGGGAUUCAGUAGUUUGAAUAUAUAGAGAAAAAUAAUUGUGCCCAUUGGAAUUAUUGAAUUAAAAUAAUAUAAAUAAUUGGACAAUGGGUUGGUUUGGUCAUUGUUAUUUGUUAAUGGGGUGUACUGCAUAAUUAAAGCAAAAAAAUAUUAUAGUACAGAUGGAAAAAGACAUUAAAAAGUGGGGCUAAGGGACCUGCAUCCAAUAUUUCUCACUAAAUAAUUUAUAUUUUACAAUUUACUGCAAUGUUAAUAUUUUGACAGAAAAGUAUUUAUAUUUAGUAUUUGAUGGAUUUUAAAUAGGAUUAUCUUUGUGAUUGAACCAAACCAGCAAAUAAAUAAAAAAUUGAUUUUUUUUUUUUGUAAAAUAGUCGAUGGUUAGAAAUUUCACCUUAAAGAGAAUAAAUAAGAUGUUCGAGAUUCGAACUCCGAAUUCUUACAUAUAUAAUGCAAUGUUUCUAUCGACAGAGUUAAGCCACAGAGAUAAUGAAUUGAAUUUUUUUUAUAUGUGUUUCUUUAUAAAGAAUUUAGAAAUUAUUUUAUUUUUUUACAAAAUGUACAAAGCAUUUUUAAGAUUUUAUUUUAAUUUUUCAUAUAUAAAGCAUUGAAUAUGGUUGGAGUUGGAAUUUAAUACAAACUGUGACAAACCUGAACCCGUGAAUAUAGCAAGGAAGGGACUUGGAAAAUCAAUCAAACAAGACGACACUGGCCACACCAUUACUAGUACUACUGUUCAUGUGCAUGCGUACUUCUAAACAAAAGCAAUUACUAGUAUUUAUUGAAAGAAAAAAAUUUAAAUGAAUUUGUUGAAAAGUUAUUUGCUAAAAUGAUUUUUUGGACUAAAAGUUAAAUGAUAAAGUUUACUUUUUUCGACCAAGUUAUACACAAUAAAAAAUGUUAUAGAUAAAUUUUAAAGUGUGCUAUUUCAACGAGGUAAUUAAAUGGAAAAUAUUAACCGAUGUCUCUAGAGCACUAAUUAAGGAACACAAAUAUAAUAAAAAAAUACAUUGAAUUUUAUGUAGUCGAAGUUUUAAAAGUACAUAAAUGUCCUUUUUAAAACUCUUUCCAUUUCCUUUAAAUUGCCAAUUGAACUACUAAUGUGGAAAUAGGUCUAAAAAUUGUUAGUAAAAUAAAUAUUAUUAAAGAUUAUAAUUAAAUGAUGUGAAUGUGUAUAUUCAUUUUUUAAUAAGUAUUAUAGCAGUUAAUUUAACUCUUAAGAUGAAUAAAUAGAACGUACAAUAUUUAUACUCAUUUUUGUAAUAUAAUAUGAUGUUCAUAUCAACUAAUUUAAUCUCAUGAGACGCAAACUCAUUUAAGCACCUCAAAUGGGAGUAGGUUCAUUGUGAUACUUUUAUUGCAUUCAUUAGCAUAUGGCAAUCUUACCAAAUGACAACGUAGUAUGAUGUUGAUUUGCUACUUAUUUUGAUGUUGGACCACUUUUUAUUUGUAACUUUUAUUUAUCGAUAGAAUAUGCUCUUGGAAUCUUAGGUAAAGAAUGGUAGUUGCAGUUUUUUAUAAGAAAAAAUCAUUUCUCAUUUUUCUUACUCAUAGUAGAUACUAGAUCAUUUCUCAUUUUUCUUUAUUAUUAGUACAUACUUUUCUUUGUUUUAUACUUAAAUUAAAUACCCCAAUAUUGAUGAUCGUUGAGUGAGCUGCAAGCUUUUGACCUCUUUGUCUCUCACAAUAAAUUCAACUUAUAAUACCUAAAUUCCAACUUGUGAUUAAUGUUUUGUCGAAAAAAAUGAAGAAUUUGUACAAAAGAAAGAAUUCAUGUUCUCGUGAGCUUAACUCAGUUGGUAGGGAUAUCGCAUUAUAUAUGCAAGAGCCGAAAUUCGAAUGUCGGACAUUCACUUAUUGAUUUUUAAGGUGAAUUUUUUAGCCACUAAAUUACUACUAGACAACAAAAAAAAAAUCUUAUAUUAUGGGACUCGUUUUUUUUUUAUAAGCAAAAAUAUAUUAUAAGAAAUUACAAGGGUACUCAAACCGUUACAAGUUAUAUUAUGGGACUCUUAUUUCUUAAACUGUUUUUUUUUAAUAUAAAACGUACUUCUUUAACCUUGCCAUACCUCUACAUCUCUUUUUACCAUAAUAAGUUAGCAAAUAUUUUAUAAUUAAAAUAUAUAAGUUACUUUGAGUACAGUAAACGAAUAAUUUUCUGUAUAUCUAGCUACCUUUCUUUUGAGGUACAUUACAUAAAUAGUUUGAAGCCAAACUAUAGUAUAUCAGUACUCCCUCGUCUCAUUUAUAAUAUCAAGAGAACAUGAACAAUUAUCUUUUUUCAAUAAUACCUCCAUUUAAUUAAGUAGACUUUAAUUAUAAUAAUAAAUCUAUAAAUUACAAGAUGGGCGUAUUAUAAUAAAUCAACUAAUAAACUGUUUAAAGACAAUAGACAUCCAUAUGUUUGUCAUAUAAAUUUAACCCAGUUAGCAGAGAUAUUGCAUUAUAUAUAUAUAUAUAUAUAUAUAUAUAUAUAUAUAUAGGAAUCAGGGUUUAAAUCUCGGUCAUCCAACUUAUCCAUGAUAAAAGACAACCAAAUAUUCUCAUUUGUCGCGCUUCAUGAAUGAGAUCAAUUUUUUAUUUUUUUGAACAAAAUGAAUGAGAUCCAUUACCAACAAAUAUGAUGCCCAUAACCAUCGCUAAGCCGACAUUUGACCAACAAAAUAUAUCAAUAUUACACACUGUAUAGUAUAUAUUAAUAUUAAUACUACUAUAUAGUAGAUGAAUGAAUCUUAUCAUAUGCAAUAAGCACAUGGUUCCAGUUGUGGGUUGCUGAAAAAGAAAGAAAAAAAGUUCCCGACCAAAAUCCAGUGCGGUGGUCAUGUACAGCCUACAUAUUUGUUGCGGUUUUCUUUAAUUAGGCUAACAAUACUCCCUCUACUUUUUUAACCAAUAAUUUUAUUAUUUGAAAUUUAUAUUCCUCUCAUUAAAUUUAAGUGACCACUCACAUAAUUUAGUAAAAUGAUCCCAAUUUAAUUUUAAUUAAUAAAAAAAAAUUGUUGAAAAUAAUGGUAUUAUGUAAGCAUAAUAAAGACUUUGCACUCCAUAAAAAGUUAAGAACUUUGCAACAGAAUUUAAUAUUUUCACAUAUUAAACCAUGAAUUAAACUUAGUUUGUUGUGCUUAAAAGAAUAUUCUAUGAUCUCUCACACUCUACCAACUCAUUGAUAUUUUGUUUGUAGAAUUUAAAUAUUAUUUAUGUGACGAAAAAGUACAAGCCACCUAUGCAAAUCACUUUUUUUUAACCAACUUGAUUGAGUUGGGUCUCUCUCGUUUUCAUCUUUAUGCAGUCACUACGAAGCUUCAUAUGUUAACAACACACGUUCGUCAUGUUACAAAAUACGUAUAAACCUUCUUGCUUAAGUUAUUGCCACCGCCAGCGCCAGUCAAAUUUUAUACCACUUGUUAAUUAACAUAAAAGACUUUUGACUACUUCAGCUUCUUCCAAAUUCACCAAGCUAUAUAGCAAUACUUUUCACAUGCUAGAAUGAGUGAUAUAUUAUAUAUGUAGUAUUAAUUUGUAGUACUAACUUAAACGGCUGCUUCAGUUUCAUCUUUCAUUUCAUUUGACUAAUUGAUUAAUAAUAUCAUUCAUGAUUAGCAAGUCUUUGUGAUUUUAAUUAUGAUCCAUGCAUUGCUUCUUAUAAGUAACGAAAUUAGGAAAAAAAUUGUCAAAAAAAAAAAUUAACAUUUUCUAAUAGGUAAAAAAUUUACUCAGUUUCGUCUAAAAUUAGUAUCGUCUAACGUUCUUUACAUAAAUUUACUCUCAACGUCAAUUAUCUCUAAUCACAUCCACUUUCCUAGUUUACUUGAGCGUCGGAGAUUUUGCAUAUAUUAAUUAUCUCCAUCAAUAUACAACGAAACGAUGUUCGACCUUCCACGGAGCCGACUUCUGAUUAAUCCAGUUUGGAUGUUUUAGGACAUUUUUUUAAUUAAAACGACAAUAAUUUUAGAACAGAAACAAUACAAACUUAUUUUAUAGUCAAUUUAACUCUCACUAUCAUUAGUAAUAUUAGAUAUUAGGUUGCAAUUUCUGAGUUAUGAACUAAUUAAUGAAAUUUUGGAUUUACUUUAGCCAUACAUAAUUCGUGUAUGUGCUAUUUGCAAAAGCCAUGUUAGUUACUUAUCGCCAAGUUAUUUUGCCCAUAAAGAAACUUUAAACCCCUUAACAUUUACUAUUUUCUUUUGGCUCUGUUAAUCUUACGUUUCUGUAAUUAUCUCUAAGCAUCUUUUUACUAAUGGAAUACAAAUUGAAAAUAUAUGAUUGAAUCGGAGAAAUCGGUAAGUAGUAGACACAAAGGUAAUCUAAGAUGCACCCCUAGCUUUUAUAAAGUGAAUAUAGAUGACUCUUGGCCUUGUUGCUUUAAUAGUGGAGGUUUGUACAAUGUUGAAUCUCAUUAUGAACUUUUCUCUUCCGAAUCCUCCAUUUCUUUUAUACCCAAAAAUCUCAUUUUGCUCCUUGCGGUUUGAAAAAUUUUUGCCAAAAAACUUCGAUUUAUAUAAAUCAUUCGCUGAAUUACUUCGGUUUAUAUUCACCGAAGUCAUACUUUAUAUAACCGUCUCUGCUGUCACUUCUUAUUCUUCACAAAACGAGGAGAGAAAAUAGAAACUGAACCAUUCGCGAUUUUUGGAGCAUUUGAGGCUUGAAAUCAAGAUUGGAGCAUCAUCUAAGGGAUUCAACACGCACUGAAGCUCAAAUCUAAGGUAAACACCGUUUUUUAUUCCUUUCUUUUAGCUAUCAUAGGGCCUAUUUUCGUAGGUGUUCUGACAGGAAAGCCUUCAGUGAAUAGAAACCGAAGUUUGCCCAGAUGUGUUUUGGUAAUUGAGAACCGAAAUAUUGGGACUUUUAAUUUUCCUGCGCAGGCUUGUGCAUUUGGCUUGUUAUUGUCUUAUAAAUUGUUGUCCAAAUUGCAUAUUACUAUUAUAUGUGUUUAAUUAGUAUUCUACUAGGAUUUUAACUAUUAUAUAUGGUUGAUUGAUUUUUUUUUUUGCAUUUGCUUAUGUUGUAGUUAUGGAUGACGAAAUUGUCGAAGUUAAACCGAAGCGACCUGUUGUGCUAGGUCUUUUUGCAACGGGCAUUGUU
rnacentral:lncRNA from 1 species